AUGGCCGGGGCCCUGCGUGGUUUCCUUCGAGGGUGGGGUGCAAACCAUGGAAGUGAAGCUAAACGAGCUAGGGAAGCUCUUAUCGAGGAAAUUAAAGCCCUUGACGUUCAAGCUGACUCUAGAUCCUUAUCGGAAGCGGAGUGUGCUAACCGUUAUGCCCUCGAAAAUCAAGUGCUGGCCAUCCUCAGGGAAGAGGAGGAAUAUUGGCGCCGUAGGGGCGGCGUCAAGUGGAUUACCAAGGGGGACGCAAAUACGGGCUAUUUCCACGCCUUCGCCAAUGGCCGCAAAAGGAAAUGUUCGAUUCUCAGAUUGCAAUUGGACCACGGAUUACUGGUCAGCCAAGCUGAAAUCUCGAGGCAUAUUUACGAUUUCUUCCUUAACCUGUUGGGUACAGUGGAAGAGAAGCCCCUUCACCUCCGUGAGGACUUUUGG
rnacentral:rRNA from 1 species